rnacentral:rRNA from 1 species
AGAGUUUGAUCCUGGCUCAGAUUGAACGCUGGCGGCAUGCCUUACACAUGCAAGUCGAACGGUAACAGCACUUCGGUGGCUGACGAGUGGCGAGCGGGUGAGUAAUACAUCGGAACGUGCCCGAGAGUGGGGGAUAACGCAGCGAAAGCUGUGCUAAUACCGCAUACGAUCUACGGAUGAAAGCAGGGGACCGCAAGGCCUUGCGCUCAUGGAGCGGCCGAUGGCAGAUUAGGUAGUUGGUGGGAUAAAAGCUUACCAAGCCGACGAUCUGUAGCUGGUCUGAGAGGACGACCAGCCACACUGGGACUGAGACACGGCCCAGACUCCUACGGGAGGCAGCAGUGGGGAAUUUUGGACAAUGGGCGAAAGCCUGAUCCAGCCAUGCCGCGUGCAGGAUGAAGGCCUUCGGGUUGU